AUACGGAGGGUCCAAGCGUUAAUCGGAAUUACUGGGCGUAAAGCGCGCGUAGGCGGUUUGGUAAGUCGGAUGUGAAAGCCCCGGGCUCAACCUGGGAAUUGCAUUCGAUACUGCCGAACUAGAGUAUGGUAGAGGGAAGUGGAAUUUCCGGUGUAGCGGUGAAAUGCGUAGAUAUCGGAAGGAACACCAGUGGCGAAGGCGACUUCCUGGGCCAAUACUGACGCUGAGGUGCGAAAGCGUGGGGAGCAAACAGGAUUAGAAACCCCGGUAGUCC
rnacentral:rRNA from 1 species